CUAAUGGGCCUGGAGUUCGAAUUCUUCGACUUCUCCAGCCUCAGAGCAGGGGCAACACAGCCCAUGGACGUACAAUCUUCCCUUCAAAGGACUCGUUAAUAUUCUUCAACUCUUCAGAGAGAUCAGCUCUGGGGACAAAAGGGGAAUUGAGUCUCCAUGGCCAAUUCACUCCUUGGCCUCC
rnacentral:sRNA from 1 species